ACCGGCUAACUCCGUGCCAGCAGCCGCGGUAAUACGGAGGGUGCGAGCGUUAAUCGGAAUUACUGGGCGUAAAGCGUGCGCAGGCGGUUAUGUAAGACAGAUGUGAAAUCCCCGGGCUCAACCUGGGAACUGCAUUUGUGACUGCAUGGCUAGAGUACGGUAGAGGGGGAUGGAAUUCCGCGUGUAGCAGUGAAAUGCGUAGAUAUGCGGAGGAACACCGAUGGCGAAGGCAAUCCCCUGGACCUGUACUGACGCUCAUGCACGAAAGCGUGGGGAGCAAACAGGAU
rnacentral:rRNA from 1 species